rnacentral:lncRNA from 1 species
CGCGGGGAUGAAAUGUGACAGAUGUAGCCCCAGCCAGAAGGGGCAGGCACACGCAGCGGAGACUCAUACAGACACCCAGACAGGACCCUGAACACACAGACAGGCACAGGGACCCCUGUGCCCACAGGGAUGGGCUGGCACUCACAUAGUUCCCAAGGCGUGCAUGCAAUGCCUCUGCUGCUGUCCACACACACCUGGACAGACACAGCCCUGGCAUUCAGCACACACACACACACACACACACAGCCCAGCAUGCAUGCCAGGCUAACAAAGAUGCAAGGAACUGCACACACACACUGAGGAUGGCUAUAGACGCGUCCACUCAGACACGCGCCGAUGGACACCUGGCCGACGCUGCCCUUGCACCUGUGACAGGAAGGUACAGGAGAGAGAUGCAGAUGAGGAUGAGCACGUGCCCGGGCAGACAUGAAACAAGCAGGGCCAUCCAGUGUCAGCCAAGUCACCAGAGCCCGGGGAUGUUGUUGUCGAGGAAUGAACACUUCUUCCUGGUUGCUGAACCACUUUCAAGGCCCACUCAAGCACAGAAAUGCACAGGCCCUGCCAUCUGCCUCCUCAUCCACACCACGUGGGAGGCUCCUCUUGUCACAGCCUGGGUAACAAAGCGAGACCCCAUCUAUACAAAAACUUGGCUGUGGUGCUACGCACCUGUAGUUGGUCAAGGCUGCAGUGAGCCGUGAUUGUGUGCCACUGCACCCCAGCCUGGGUGAGAGUGAAACCCUGUCUCUAAAAACUAAAUGAAUAAAGAUGGCCUCAGAUGGGAAUAGCUAGGAAAAGGAGACAGGGCUCUUGUGGGAAGAGACGAGUGCAGGGAGUGGGGGAAUUGGGGAGGAAAGGC